rnacentral:rRNA from 1 species
UACGGAGGGGGCGAGCGUUAUUCGGAAUUAUUGGGCGUAAAGGGCGCGUAGGCGGCUUGCUAAGUCAAAGGUGAAAUCCCUCGGCUCAACUGAGGAACUGCCUUUGAAACUAGCGAGCUUGAGGCCGGGAGGGGGGUAGCGGAAUUCCCAGUGUAGCGGUGAAAUGCGUAGAUACUGGGAGGAACACCAGUGGCGAAGGCGGCUACCUGGACCGGUACUGACGCUGAGGCGCGAAAGCGUGGGUAGCAAACAGG